rnacentral:rRNA from 1 species
GAGACCUUGCGCUUUUGGAGCGGCCGAUGCCUGAUUAGCUUGUUGGUAAGGUAAAAGCUUACCAAGGCUUCGAUCAGUAGCUGGUCUGAGAGGACGGCCAGCCACACUGGGACUGAGACACGGCCCAGACUCCUACGGGAGGCAGCAGUGGGGAAUUUUGGACAAUGGGGGCAACCCUGAUCCAGCCAUGCCGCGUGAGUGAAGAAGGCCUUCGGGUUGUAAAGCUCUUUCAGCCGGAACGAAACGGUUACGGUUAAUACCCGUGAUUACUGACGGUACCGGAAGAAGAAGCACCGGCUAACUACGUGCCAGCAGCCGCGGUAAUACGUAGGGUGCGAGCGUUAAUCGGAAUUACUGGGCGUAAAGCGUGCGCAGGUGGUUUUGUAAGUCAGAUGUGAAAGCCCCGGGCUCAACCUGGGAACU